ACGACAUGAUGGGGACAUUUUCUUAUGGGAUCCUUUAAUCGUUCCCAGAUUCAUGCAACUACUCACCAUCUUGUUGCGAAAAGCUAGUGAGAGCUCGCCUUAUUUG
rnacentral:snoRNA from 1 species